rnacentral:rRNA from 1 species
UACGAGGGGGGCAAAUGUUGUUCGGAAUCACUGGGCGUAAAGGGAGCGUAGGCGGGCUUCUAAGUUGGAUGUUUAAACCCGGGGCCCAACCCCGGAUCGGCAUCCAAAACUGGGAGUCUUGAAUAGUGGAGAGGACGGCGGAAUUGGGGGUGUAGCGGUGGAAUGCGUAGAGAUCCCCAAGAACACCAGUUGCGAAGGCGGCCGUCUGGACACAUAUUGACGCUGAGGCUCGAAAGCAUGGGGAGCAAACAGG